rnacentral:rRNA from 1 species
AUACGGAGGGUGCAAGCGUUGUCCGGAUUUAUUGGGUUUAAAGGGUGCGUAGGUGGUUUUUUAAGUCAGUGGUGAAAGCCUACAGCUUAACUGUAGAGGUGCCAUUGAAACUGGAAGACUUGAGUAUGGACGAGGUAGGCGGAAUUUGUGGUGUAGCGGUGAAAUGCAUAGAUACCACAAAGAACACCGAUAGCGAAGGCAGCUUACUAGGCCAUAACUGACACUGAGGCACGAAAGUGUGGGGAGCGAACAGGAUUAGAUACCCCUGUAGUCC